rnacentral:snRNA from 1 species
UUAUCCCCCUGGCAGGGGAGAUACCAUGAUCAUGAAGGUGGUCUUCCCAGGGUGAGGCUUAUUCAUUGCACUCCGGAUGUGAUGACCCCUGCGAUUUCUCCAAAUGUGGGAAACUCGACUGCAUAAUUUGUGGUAGUGGGAGACUGCGUUCUCCCC